GUAAGAAAUGUGGGAAUAGCUCUGUACAGCCAGGCCAGCAUGUGGGGAACUUCGAAAGUCUUUUGAAAAAGGAAUUCUUCUUCAUACUCUAAGCAGGGAAGCAGAGCUUAAGAAUGAAUGAACAAACUGAAGCAGGUAACAAAGCAUGGUGUAGAAGGCAGCAAUCUGUCCACCAGCAGUUAACACAAAGAAGCAGAGGUUCUUACAGAUAAGCUGUGUUCUUGGCCUGGGACAAAGGACAAAGACUCCUUCACAGGAGGUGAUGUAGAAGGAAGAGGAUUUAUGUUGCCAAGAAAGAGGUAGGACAGAAAGGGAAGUGGAUUGACUAAUUUGGUAGUCUUGAGAGGCUCUAAUGUUCUGGGCAAAGGGAAAUGGAGCAGUGAGAAGAGAGGAAAAAUCAGAGAGAAAAGUAAUAGCAUUUUUAAACCUAUAUUUUUAAGUCUUUUCUGUAAGAAACCCUUUUCUAAAUGGCUGUUAUUUGAUCUACAUGAAAGGUGCUAUAUCUCAGAGCAUGAAAUGUCUAUCUGAAGUAUUUGUAGUUGAGACCUUGCCAACACCCAAUUUAGAUACACUGGAAGUCAAAUGGGGACAAACUGUCUUCCUGGAAAUAGAUGAAGAUCUCCAGCUGAUGUCCUCCUCUUAAGUUAAAGCCAAGACUUCAUCGUGUAAUGGCAAAAAUGACAAGGAACGAAGGCGCAUGUCUCUGCUACUGCUGCGGUAAGCAGCUUGCAGCCGUGGUGCUGCAUCUUGCCACUGGACUGGCGAUGGUCCUGUGGCUCUCUCCACUGGCCACCGGGUGAGUGGCAUGCAUGCUACCAACUGCCAGGGAACAUUUAUCAAAGUUAAGUGCUGUGGAUCUCAAUCUGCAUAAGGAUGUGCUGUAACUCAAAUGGAGAGGGUACUUAACACGGCUUUAAACAGUGAAGAUGCUUUUUGUUAACCUUUCCAUGUAUGUCUUUGUUCUCUUCACCUUUUUAAUGUAGCUGCUAGGUAAAUUAAAAAUCACAGUGUCAGUGAUUUCAGUGUAUCUGCUUAAGCACAGCUCUUCAGCAUUGCUUUGUGUGCAUGUGGUUCCUCUGAGUUGUCCUGAGAUCCGGUUGUUCUUUGGAGGUGGUAUGUGAUCAAGGUAUCAAGCUAUGCUUCUCACAGGAGGCAGCCUCUUCCUGGGCGUUUAUACAGCUAAGUGGCAGAGGAGCAAAAUUCCCACGUGUAACUUGAGUCUUUGAUCUUUAUCUGGGUCUGUGCAAGCUUGCUGUUCAACAUGCUGCUCUAUGCUGACAUAAUUAAUUAUGAUGUGGACAAAAAAUGGUUUUACUAAUGGUGUCGGAGGAUGUGACCUUGGGAAAAGGGAACUUUAGUCAGGUUUGAAAUCUGAAACAGACAAAGGGAUACUAAACGAUUUAAACACCAUUCAAAUAGCAGGUGUUAAGCUUAUUAAGUGAAGAAGAUCCAAGUGAUUCUAUCUGCUUCUGAUCUAAUUGUUCUCCAGGAGAGAUGGUGCUUUAAUAAGCUUGCGACAGCUUCUGCCUUUCAGCAAGUAAGUGGGUCAUUUCUUCCUUCAGCUAGCUGAGGGUAAGGGAAAACUGUCACUGCUAAAGCUCAUGCAGCUUUUAUUCAAGAUUAAGCAAGGGAUCUGUUGAGACUUUUUUAGCCUUGGUGUGCUUAUAAGGCAGACAGCCACAAGAAGAGCUUUGAGAACAUUUUUACUGUAAGAGUCAUGCUGCCACAUAGGAAAAAAAAUUAAAAACCCUCCUGCUUCUUCCUAUUAAGACUAUUUAGUGUACUGAUAAUUAUAGCAGGCAAAAAGCAUUAGUGCUGUAAGCCAGCCUUUUCCUGCAUGAAACAAAGCAGGAGCAAUAUUUCACUUCAGUUUUCCACUAGAGACUGUCUCCAAAAUGUAUUUUAUAGCAAGGACUGGAAUAAAAGGGUGAAGCUGAUGGCAGUUACCAGUUAAUUUCUGUGUCUUGUCUACCUCUUAUUAAAGUACAGCAGCAAGGAUUCAAUGUUGGGCUAUAGCAGGGAUGAGUAUGAUACCAAGAAUUGCCUUGUGAUGGGGAGAGACCCCAGACUUUUCAGAGUUAUUCCACCCUGCCCUCGCCUUCAAAAUUACCCUUUAAGGAUAUGCAGCAGUGAACAUCUGUCACGUGUGCAGGGUGAAAUAAGAAUCCCAGCCUUUUGCACUCCAGGAGAGCUCUGCAGUGAUGGCACUAUCACAUAGAUCAUGCUGCUUCUCCACAGCUUGUUUUUUUUGCUAGGAGAGUUAGCACUGAAAACAAGGGGCUGAGUAAAAUGGCUUAAGAACCAUCCAGAUACCAAACACCCUCACCCUGUGAGAGUGAUGGUGGCAGUUUGGUAGCUGUGGGAGUUCAGCUCCUGCUGUUAUCUGAAGCCUGCCAUAAUCGGUGCUGCAGCUCUGUGCCCUGGCAGGAGGAAAGGGUGCCACAUUGAUGGGCACCCUAGGCAGGCCUUGGAAAACAGAGCUGCUCCUGCAAAAGUAAAAGGUAAAUUCUGGGCUUUUUGGUGGUGUGGGAGUUUUUUGGUUGGUUUGUUGGUUUUUUGUUUGGCUUUGGGUUGUGGUGUUUGUUGGGCUUCCCCCCCCCCAAAUACAGAUCUGAGUACAAUAUCACCCUUGCUCUCAAGUCACAGCUUUCUACCUCACAUGUAGUUGCUUCUAGAAACUGCCAAAAGGAUCUGAAUGGAAACUCCAGCUUCUGGUGUGACUGUGGUGGAUGAGCAAGGAUUUGACUUGUUAAAGACCAUUUGAGGGAAGAUCCUAAGAGAAGAUAACUGCAAGGGAGAAGCAGCACUGCAUCUCACCCCCUCAGACUGCAGCUGAGGGC